rnacentral:rRNA from 1 species
CCUACGGGAGGCAGCAAUGAGGAAUAUUGGUCAAUGGACGCAAGUCUGAACCAGCCAUGCCGCGUGCAGGAAGACGGCUCUAUGAGUUGUAAACUGCUUUUGUACGAGGGUAAACGCAGAUACGCGUAUCUGUCUGAAAGUAUCGUACGAAUACGGAUCGGCUAACUCCGUGCCAGCAGCCGCGGCAAUACGGAGGAUACAAGCGUUAUCCGGAUUUAUUGGGUUUAAAGGGUGCGUAGGCGGUCGGAUAAGUUAGAGGUGAAAUCCCGAGGCUCAACUUCGGAAUGGCCUCUGAUACUGUUCGGAUAGAGAGUAGUUGCGGUAGGCGGAAUGUAUGGUGUAGCGGUGAAAUGCUUAGAGAUCAGACAGAACACCGAUUGCGAAGGCAGCUUACCAGGCUACUUCUGACGUUGAGGCACGAAAGCGUGGGGAGCAAACAGGAUUAGAUACCCCAGUAGUC